AACGAACGCUGGCGGCAGGCUUAACACAUGCAAGUCGAACGAAGUCUUCGGACUUAGUGGCGGACGGGUGAGUAACGCGUGGGAACGUGCCCCUUGGUACGGAAUAGUCCCGGGAAACUGGGUUUAAUACCGUAUAUUCUCUACGGAGGAAAGAUUUAUCGCCAAGGGAUCGGCCCGCGUUGGAUUAGGUAGUUGGUGGGGUAAUGGCCUACCAAGCCCGCGAUCCAUAGCUGGUUUGAGAGGAUGAUCAGCCACACUGGGACUGAGACACGGCCCAGACUCCUACGGGAGGCAGCAGUGGGGAAUCUUAGACAAUGGGGGAAACCCUGAUCUAGCCAUGCCGCGUGAGCGAUGAAGGCCUUAGGGUUGUAAAGCUCUUUCGCUGGGGAAGAUAAUGACGGUACCCAGUAAAGAAGCCCCGGCUAACUCCGUGCCAGCAGCCGCGGUAAUACGGAGGGGGCUAGCGUUGUUCGGAAUUACUGGGCGUAAAGCGCGCGUAGGCGGAUUGGAAAGUUGGGGGUGAAAUCCCGGGGCUCAACCCCGGAACUGCCUCCAAAACUAUCAGUCUGGAGUUCGAGAGAGGUGAGU
rnacentral:rRNA from 1 species